GGGCUGAUUGCAUUAUUUUACAUUUGGGAAUCAUACCGACCCUAAGAUCUUGUCUAAUCUACAGGGACAGGAAGUUCAACUUGGUGGGAAAGCUCAGCAGAGGUCCUUCAGAGGAAGCCUCACUGAUCCACCAUCCAGUGCCAGCCCGCUAACACAAUGUCUCGAUCUGCAGGCCAGCUCUAGACUUGGAUCCAGCAACUGGACUUGGCCUCACCUGAGAGAAGAGGAAUUUAAAUGAAAGUAGAACAAAAAAUCAAUUAAUCCAUUCUUUGUGACAGAAGCCACCAGAUGAUGCUGUUACUCUUACAGCUUCUUAGCAUGUGAGCAAGAUUUCAGUUUUUGAAGGAAUGCUGCAUUGUUAUUAGUUUAGUUUUACAGUAAUCCUCUGAGAGAAGCUAGUAGCAGAAUGUGUUUUCU
rnacentral:lncRNA from 1 species